CAUCUGUUAUAUUUAUAUUAUUAUCUAAUAAUUGUUUUGUCAUAUAUCCUAUCCAUAAUUGUAUUGUUUUUUCUGUAUCUAUUACACAGUCUAGAUCUAAAAAGUUAUAAUUUUUAUUCACUAUUUGUUUUGGUAUCCAUUUAUCAUAUUCAUUAUAUUUUUUAAACUUAUUCUUAUGGUAUAUAGGUUUUCUUAUUUCUGUUGUUUUAGGUAUUAUAUUUUCAUUUUCUUUUUUAUCAAGAGUAUUUAUUUCUGUUUGGGUAUUUUCUAAGUUUUCCUCAUUAAUUUUUUGUUCUUCAUUGAUUUCUAAAUUUUUUGUAUUUGUUAAUAUUUCUGUGUAUGUUUCACUAUCUUCGGACUCAUAAUUAUCUGUCUCUUCAAUAUCUAUAUUAUUUA
rnacentral:lncRNA from 1 species